rnacentral:rRNA from 1 species
UACGUAGGUGGCAAGCGUUGUCCGGAUUUAUUGGGCGUAAAGGAUGCGUAGGCGGUUGUUUAAGUGAGAUGUGAAAUACCCGAGCUCAACUUGGGUGCUGCAUUUCAAACUGGAUAUCUAGAGUGCAGGAGAGGAAAGCGGAAUUCCUAGUGUAGCGGUGAAAUGCGUAGAGAUUAGGAAGAACACCAGUGGCGAAGGCGGCUUUCUGGACUGUAACUGACGCUGAGGCGCGACAGCGUGGGGAGCAAACAGG